AUUGAACGCUGGCGGCAGGCCUAACACAUGCAAGUCGAGCGGUUGAGAGUAGCUUGCUACUUGAUGCAGCGGCGGACGGGUGAGUAAUGCAUGGGAAUCUGCCUGGUAGUGGGGGACAACGUUUCGAAAGGAACGCUAAUACCGCAUACGCCCUACGGGGGAAAGGGGGGGAUCUUCGGACCUCUCGCUAUCAGAUGAGCCCAUGUCAGAUUAGCUAGUUGGGGGGGUAAAGCCCACCAAGGCGACGAUCUGUAACUGGUCUGAGAGGAUGAUCAGUCACACUGGAACUGAGACACGGUCCAGACUCCUACGGGAGGCAGCAGUGGGAAUAUUGGACAAUGGGCGAAAGCCUGAUCCAGCCAUGCCGCGUGUGUGAAGAA
rnacentral:rRNA from 1 species